UUUCCGUAGGUGAACCUGCGGAAGGAUCAUUAACGAGUUUGACAUGGGUUGAUGCUGGCCUUCCGAGGCAUGUGCUCGCCCUGCUCAUCCAUCUACACCUGUGCACCUAUUGUGGUUCUGGGUUUGACCGGGGUUGGAUAACGACCUUGAGAUGCCCGUUCCAUGUAUUUUACACACUCUAUACAAGUUCAGAAUGUCUACUUGCGAUAAUACGCAUUUAAAAACAACUUUCAACAACGGAUCUCUUGGCUCUCGCAUCGAUGAAGAACGCAGC
rnacentral:misc_RNA from 1 species